CUUGAGUAAAAGUACAGAUAGCCCUUGCUAAAUUUUACUCAAGUACAAGUAAAACUACUACAGUCAGAUGUCUACUUAAGGAAAAGUACUGAAGUACUUGUUUUUAAAAGUACUUGAGUAUCAAGAGUACAUUUUCUAAAUAUUGCAUUACUACUGCCACAGUGCUUACAUUUAUGUACAGAAACGUCCUACAUGGAGUUAUGAAAAAUGUUAAUGUUAAUACCUUGGAGAAUGUAAAAGGAAUUGAAAGUAAAAUCAAGUCAUUUUCA